CUUAGCAGAUUAUGACUAGAUCUCGAUGUUUUGCCCUUCCUUUGGCUGUCGAGAAAAUUGAGGGAAAGAACAGAAGUAUUUUUUUUUUAAUAAAUAAAAAAAAAGGAGAGAAGAAAACUCUGACUCCUGUUUGGUAGGCGAUGUAUCCGGGGGAGGAAAAGGAAGAGAGAAGAAAAAAAACAAAA